GUGAUCCUGACCUGUGGACACAAAAACAGACUCAGAGGGAAGAGGUGUUAAAUAUCCAGGUAGGUCCUGGCUCAGCGUCCGGGUCUGGUCUGGCAGCGGAUCCUGAUGGCGGUCAUCAGAACCGGGUCUCCAAACCUCCUGACCGGCCGUCUGAGAGGAAGCAGCUCUCCUGGAUCUGGAGGCUGGAAUAUUUCAGACAUCACAUAGUUAGUAAUGUUUUAAUAAUAAUCAAUAAUCAAUGUCAGUGGUCAAUUACAAACUGGUACUAUAGUUACUCAAAUUGAAAAGUUUAUUUCAUAUGCAAGGAAUCAAAUAGAUGUGAUCACCUAGCUGGGAAAAUUGGGGGAUCAAAUGGGUUCCCUCGCACAAGUUUCUUCACAUUAAUUUAGUCAAUCAUUGUACAACAUCAUACCAUAAACAAAUGAAAAACUAAAGCACUCACCUCCUCUUUCACCCCUGUGAGCCUUCGACAUCCUCCUCCAAACUGCAAUAAAAAAAAACAAUACAAAAUACAAUAUAAAAAAGAAUAAAAUACAACUAUCCUCAGGAAAAAAAAGAAA